rnacentral:rRNA from 1 species
AUUGAACGCUGGCGGCAUGCCUUACACAUGCAAGUCGAACGGUAACAGGUUAAGCUGACGAGUGGCGAACGGGUGAGUAAUGUAUCGGAACGUGCCCAGUCGUGGGGGAUAACUGCUCGAAAGAGCAGCUAAUACCGCAUACGACCUGAGGGUGAAAGCGGGGGAUCGCAAGACCUCGCGCGAUUAGAGCGGCCGAUAUCAGAUUAGGUAGUUGGUGGGGUAAAGGCCUACCAAGCCUACGAUCUGUAGCUGGUCGGAGAGGACGACCAGCCACACUGGGACUGAGACACGGCCCAGACUCCUACGGGAGGCAGCAGUGGGGAAUUUUGGACAAUGGACGCAAGUCUGAUCCAGCCAUGCCGCGUGCGGGAAGAAGGCCUUCGGGUUGUAAACCGCUUUUGUCAGGGAAGAAAAGGUUCUGGCUAAUACCUGGGACUCAUGACGGUACCUGAAGAAUAAGCACCGGCUAACUACGUGCUAGCCGCCGCCGUAAAAC